AUAGGUUAUUGGGAAAGUGAAGUUAUUUAGCUUUGUUUCUAUGUGGCAUUAUAAAAUUUUUCUUCCAGGAAACAGUGAGAAAACAUCCCAGAAGAGACACCUAAAAUGAGAGGCAUAAAAUCUCAGAAGAGAGCAAGAAGCGACUGCAGGAAUCUGCUAGCACACUGCCCUGGGGUGUGUGAAGAGGGUCCAUAUUAUCCUUUCCUGCUGGAGAAGCAGAUUGAGGAAGGGACCACAAAGAGGGCUCUUGACAGCAUGGGUUAUAGAAGGAAAGAUUCCAGAAAAAAAUAUUUGGACAUGGAACAAAAGCCAUCAGAAGAAACCUGAUGUGGUAAGGUUUUACGUUUUCACAGCUAGA